rnacentral:tRNA from 2 species
GCGGAAGUAGUUCAGUGGUAGAACACCACCUUGCCAAGGUGGGGGUCGCGAGUUCAAAUCUCGUCUUCCGCUCCA